rnacentral:rRNA from 1 species
GAUGAACGCUGGCGGCGUGCCUAAUACAUGCAAGUCGAGCGAACAGACGAGGCGCUUGCUCCUCUGACGUUAGCGGCGGACGGGUGAGUAACACGUGGAUAACCUACCUAUCAGACUGGGAUAACUUCGGGAAACCGGAGCUAAUACCGGAUAAUAUAUUGAACCGCAUGGUUCAAUAGUGAAAGACGGUUUUGCUGUCACUUAUAGAUGGAUCCGCGCCGCAUUAGCUAGUUGGUAAGGUAACGGCUUACCAAGGCAACGAUGCGUAGCCGACCUGAGAGGGUGAUCGGCCACACUGGAACUGAGACACGGUCCAGACUCCUACGGGAGGCAGCAGUAGGGAAUCUUCCGCAAUGGGCGAAAGCCUGACGGAGCAACGCCGCGUGAGUGAUGAAGGUCUUCGGAUCGUAAAACUCUGUUAUUAGGGAAGAACAAAUGUGUAAGUAACUAUGCACGUCUUGACGGUACCUAAUCAGAAAGCCACGGCUAACUACGUG